UACGUAGGGUGCAAGCGUUGUCCGGAAUUAUUGGGCGUAAAGAGCUCGUAGGCGGUUUGUUGCGUCGGCUGUGAAAUCCCGAGGCUCAACCUCGGGUCUGCAGUCGAUACGAGCAAACUAGAGUGUUGCAGGGGAGGCUGGAAUUCCUGGUGUAGCGGUGAAAUGCGCAGAUAUCAGGAGGAACACCGGUGGCGAAGGCGGGUCUCUGGGCAACAACUGACGCUGAGGAGCGAAAGCCAGGGGAGCAAACGGG
rnacentral:rRNA from 1 species